UCUUUCUUCAGUUUCUUCUCUUCUCCUGUUCAUGUUCUUUUUUUUUCUGCGAGAGAUUUAUCGAUUCUUUCUUCUCUGCGAGGGAGAUGAUGAGGCUGUGAAUCGUAAAGGAGAACAAGUAGAGAUUGUUAGGGUUCAUGUUUGAACUGAUGAAUCUGUAAAGAAGAUAACAAAUUAGGGUUUAUAGAUUGGUUAUUGUUCUGAAGAUUUAGAAGAUGAAUAUGGAGCUAUGAUUAGAUUGAAAACAAUGGGUAGAUGUUUAAAUGAAAUAUUGAAGUUGUUUCGGUGAUGGAUUGAAGGAAUCAGAGGUUAGGGUUUUGAGAUUAAUUUCGAGGUCAGUGGAAAAUUGAUGGGUUAAUCGGGAUGUUGGUGGAUGAUGAUUAGGAGGGUCGAUGUCAAUUGAAGCUGUAGAGUUGUUCUGGUGAUAGAAUUGAAGAACUAGGGUUCUGCUAUGAUUGAACCAGUUGUAGUUUUAAAAGAGGGGUUUGAUUUGAAAGAUACAAAUUGAGUUAGAGAUGGGUUUUGUGUUAAUUUAUCAUUUGUAGUUGUUGUUGAUGAAGAAUCAGUGAAUUAGGGUUAUGUUCUGUUUUUUCCCAAAAUAUAAAUUAAGGAUUUUGGUAGAAGUUGAACAGAACUGGUGGGUGGUUGUUGUCUUAAGAAGAAUUGGUGGAUCAAGUAAAGUGAAUAAGAAACUGAAUUCAAUUGCAUGAGAAACACUGUUUUGAGGUAAUUAUCUAUCCUGGUUACUUGGGCAGAGUUAUCCAUAUUCAGUUUUGUGUAUUUGAUGGUUGAUGGAAACUGUGGUUGUAUAUUAAGUUUGUAAUUGAGUUACAAGAUAUGUUUGUGUUAGUGUGAAAUGAGAAUGAAAUUUGCUUUUGAACCGAGUUGAAGGUGGAAUGGGAUGGUGAUGUUGUAUGUGUAGUUGGAUUAGAAGGUGGAGAAGAGAAUGUUGUUUAAUCUGUGACAUGUGACAGGUGAAAGGUUAAUGGUAAUGUUUGUGUAAUGGAGUUGGUGGUGGCUCUGUAGAUGUCGGUAAUACUUAGGGGUUUGUGAUGUUGUUACAGAUGUUGUGGUUGCAAUGAAUUGCAGGCCUGAAGGUGGUAAUGUUGCAUAGUCAGUUUUGUAAAGACCCUCAAGCUCGUCAACGCUAUUAGACCAGUCAAAUGAUGAAUUAGCCGAUAAUAUCUCGAUUAGUUUAAGACGAACAUUAAUUAAAAGGAAUUAAUCUAACAAUUAUUUAGAUACGAAAUUAGUACCGUUGAAUAGAUCUCGAAAAGCUAUGUGAGAUGGACUACUCGAACGUGUCAUUCGGAUACCGGAUGAAAAAGAUAUCAUUGAUUUAGUAUGAAUGGUAAAAUUAUCAUUUCAUGGAAAUCAAGUGCGUCUUAGUGUUUCCUCUGGGACUUAUCUCCUCGAACCGAUUGAAGAGAAUCAGUUUUCUCUUAUGCUUUCUUCUUUCUUCUUUUCUUUUUCUUUCUCCGUUCUUCUUCUCUUUCCUUCUUCUCAUGUUCUUCUUUUCUCUACGUGUGAUUGAGAGUUGGCUUGAGAGAGAGACGGUCGAUGAAUUAGAAGAUGUUGAUGAUGAGAUGAGAGUGGUGUUGAUGUUGAUUAACUCUGAAGAAGAAGAAGAUUAAGUUGCUGAUGUAGAUCGAAGUUAGGGUUUCGAUUUAGGUUCAAGAUAUGAAUGAAUUGAUUAAUUGAAGAAGGAUUUGGGUAGUUGGUGAUGAAUAACAAAGGGGUUUGGUGUUCUUGUGAAGUUCUGAAGCUGAUUCAAUGAUGAAUUGAAAAGUUAGAGUUUCUACAAGAAUUCAAAGAUGAAUUAGAAGAUGAAAUUGAUGUUUUAAGAAAGGGAUUUGAGAUGGGUAUUGAUCGAUUGGAUGAAUUAAGGUUAGAGUUGAGGAGUAAUUCGAGUUUGAUGAAGUUAGGGCUUUGGAGUCGUUUUUGAAACUAGGGUCUCUCAGUAGUUUGGUUUUAAGUUUGAAUGGGCGAUGAACAAAAAGAAUUAAGGACUGGAUUUGAAUAAUUGAGGAAAGGGUUGGAGCUAAUUAGAUUUUGUGGAGCUGUUUUGAGGUUGAUGAAUUGAAUCAGGUGGAGAAGAACCUGAAUUCAAUUGCCUGAGCAUUCCUGAAUUGAGGUAAUUGUUCUUCUAUGUGAUUUUGGAUAAUUUAUUCAUUUCAAUUGUUGAAAUUAUGAAAUGGUUGGUAAGUAUGAAUUGGACUGAGAUUGAUAAGGGUAUGAUUUUGGAAGUGAACUGGUGCUAUUAGGAGUUAAAGGAAAAAAAAAUAAUGAUGCUGGAAUUGUUGUUAAUAUGGAUUAUAAGGAGGAUUUAUGAUUGAUUGUUAGAACUGCUAUUGAGAUGAAAUAUAUGAGAUGUUGUUGUUGAAAUCAUGAUGGUAGAGAAUGUAUGAGCUGUGUAGGGGAAUGGAUAUGAUGGGUAUGUGCAUAAGCUGGAGAUGGUUGAAAUUAUGAUUUGGUGGUGAUGAUGGUGUCGCUGUUCAUGGAGAAAUGGUGGAAAUGAAGUUGCAGGGCUGUUGCUUAAUUCAAGGAGUUGCAGAUUAUUUUGUAAUGCAAUCUGAGUUGCAGUUGUUGAAGUCUAAUUGUGCAGGUGAACUUCUUGUAAGAAGGUUGUGUAUAGAGUAAGUUGAUAUGUAUGGUGUUACAGAAAUUAAGGUAGUGAUUUUGAAAGUGUUGAGAUAGAGUUGAAGAGUGAUCUUAGGCCUGAGAUGUGUAUCAAGUAUUGGUGGAUGUAAAGAUUAUCUUGUAGCUUCAGUGAGGCUUGCAAUUGAUGUAGCAGUUAGUCUAUUAACAACAAUCGAUUCAAUGGAUGAACCAGUGGCUCGUGGAUCUCGAGGUAGGCGUGGUUUGUCAUCAAAAGAGAGAUAUAUCAGAGUUGCGCAGCGAAAGCUUCAAGGGUCGAGUUCGCUAGUUGUUUAACUUCUGCUAUGUUUAUUAUGUUGCAUAUUAUAUUUGUAAAUCAAAUGACUA